rnacentral:rRNA from 1 species
CUAGCGGCGCGCUUAAUGCAUGCAAGUCGAGCGAUGAGGCUGCCUACGGGCGGCACAUCAGCGGCAGACGGGUGAGUAACACGUAAGUAACCUACCCCAGAGACAGGGAUAACCCUGGGAAACGAGGGCUAAUACCGGAUGACCUCCGCGAGGAGGAAAGGCUACGGCGCUCUGGGAGGGGCUUGCGGCCCAUCAGCUAGUUGGUAGGGUAAAGGCCUACCAAGGCAAAGACGGGUAGGGGGUGUGAGAGCAUGGCCCCCCACAAUGGGACUGAAACACGGCCCAUACUCCUACGGGAGGCAGCAGCAGGGAAUAUUGCACAAUAGGCGAAAGCCUGAUGCAGCGACGCCGCGUGAGUGAAGAAGGCCUUCGGGUCGUAAAGCUCUUUUGUAGGGGAAGAGGAAGGACGGUACCCUGAGAAAAAGCGUCGGCUAACUACGUGCCAGCAGCCGCGGUAAGACGUAGGACGCGAGCGUUAUCCGGAAUUACUGGGCGUAAAGGGCCAGUAGGUGGCUUGGUAAGUUGUGCGUGAAAGCCUCGCGCUCAGCGCGAGGAGGCCGGACAAUACUGUCAAGCUAGAGGGCAUCAGAGGGGAGUGGAAUUCCCGGAGUAGCGGUAAAAUGCGCAGAUAUCGGGAGGAACACCAAUGGCGAAGGCAGCUCCCUGGGAUGUACCUGACACUGAGGGGCGAAAGCUAGGGGAGCGAACAGGAUUAGAGACCCUGGUAGUCCUAGCUGUAAACGCUGGGUGCUAGGUGUGGGGCGUAGAAGUUCCGUGCCGGAGCAAACGCGAUAAGCAUCCCGCCUGGGAA